UACAGAGGUGGCAAGCGUUGUUCGGAAUUACUGGGCGUAAAGGGCGCGUAGGCGGCCUACUAAGUCAGACGUGAAAUCCCCCGGCUUAACCUCGGGAACUGGCGUCUGAUACUGGAAGGCUUGAGUAUGGGAGAGGGAUGUAGAAUUCCAGGUGUAGCGGUGAAAUGCGUAGAUAUCUGGAGGAAUACCGGUGGCGAAGGCGGCAUCCUGGACCAUUACUGACGCUGAGGCGCGAAAAGCUAGGGGAGCAAACGGG
rnacentral:rRNA from 1 species